rnacentral:rRNA from 1 species
UGAGCAACCUACCGAAAUGUGGGGGAUAGCCGGCCUAACGGCCGAGUAAUACCGCAUACGCUCUCGAUGAGGCAUUUCAUUGAGAGGAAACCUACGGGACAUUUCGAGGGGCUCGCGGCCUAUCAGCUAGUUGGCGAGGUAACGGCUCACCAAGGCAACGACGGGUAGCUGGUCUGAGAGGAUGGCCAGCCACAUUGGGACUGAGAUACGGCCCAGACUCCUACGGGAGCAG